rnacentral:rRNA from 1 species
UUGUGGCGUUGGGAACUGCCUAUUGUAACCGAUUGGCUGGACUACACGACUCCUCUUGAUUGUGGUUUGCCCAUAGCAGGUGAAAGGCCUAUUGUUGUAGUCUCGUUUUGAAGCCAGCGGUGAUGGCAGUCCUUAGAGUCGGUUUGUUUGGGAUUGCAGACCGAAUAGGGGUAACUCCACCUAAGGCUAAUAGAUCGCGAGUCGAUAGCGACAAGUACCGUGAGGACAGUUGAAAACUUUGAGAAAGAGUUCAAGUACGUGAACCGUUCAAGGUAACGGUAGAAGUCAAUUGAAAUGACAUCAGCCGUUAUUAAUCGAUUGACUGGUACCGUUAAAGCUAUCAGUUUGCUGUAUGGCUAAAUUACGGUUGUAUUUGUUGAAUUUGGAUCGCCGCAACGGCAGUCCUCGACCGGGCUGGGUGUCUGUUCCUCUGGUUGAUGUAGAUCCCGUAUGGAUCUUAACGUCUGCACAAGAAUAGGCAUCCCGCGUACAUGACACAGUCGUAUAUUACAGCAAUUUAAGUGUUCUAUCUGGCUAUUGUUCGUCUUGUAUUGGUAGACUGAUCUAAAAUUAGUUCACCUGCUAACAUCAGGGCGGCGGUAGUUGGAUUAAAGACAGAGCAAAGAUUGUUUUGGCGGCGUUUGACCACGAAUUAUCUACCUGACCCGUCUUGAAACACGGACCAAGGAGUCUAACUUAUGCGCGAGCCAUUGGGAUUGUUUAAAUAACAAAACCUAAAGGCAAAGUGAAAGCAAAUUUGUUGAGAUCUGUCGUUUAUUUGUUAAAAAUAACGGCAGCGCAUCAUCGUCACGCCUCAAUUUGGCUUCGGCUAAAGAGGCGCAGAUUGAGCGCAUAUGUUGGGACCCGAAAGAUGGUGAACUAUGCGAGGCGAGGUCGAAGCCAGAGGAAACUCUGGUGGAGGACUGUAGCGGUUCUAACGUGCAAAUUGAUCGUCGCAGCUUCGUAUAGGGGCGAAAGACUAAUCGAACCAUCUAGUACUGGUUCCCUCCGAAGUUUCCCUCAGGAUAGCUGGCACUUUCAGAGAGCAGUUUUGUCCGGUAAAGCGAAUGACUAGAGGCCUUGGGGACAUAACGACCUCAUCCUAUUCUCAAACUUUGAAUGGGCAAGAAGGGGGACUCACUUAAUUGGAGUCUUCCACCUUAAUGUGAUGCUUGAGUGCCAGUGGGCCAUUUUUGGUAAGCAGAACUGGCGCUGUGGGAGGAACAACGUUUAGCUAUGUGCCAAUGAAACGCUCAUCCGAUCCCUAAUAAAUUGUUGAUAUGGAGCAGACGUGUCUGGAUGCAUACCACAGAGUGAGUACAACAAUCGCCUACCGAAUCAACCCCUUCAUGAAAAAUGUGGCGCUGAUCGUUGUGAACCUAUGCUAACCGGCAUUGCAGUUAUAACAAUAAAAAACAUGCGAUGUCGAGUAGGAGGGUCGCUGUGGUAUGCAUUGAAGGUUUAGGCGAGAGCCUGACUCGAGCUUCCACAGGUGCAGAUCUUGGUGGUAGUAGCAAAUAUUCAAACGAGAACUUUGAAGGCCGAAGUGGAGAAGGGUUCCAUGUGAACAGCAUUUGAACAUGGGUCAGUCGGUCCUAAGCGAUAGGCAAAUGCCGUUGUGAAAGCUGGUUUAUUUUAAUAAUUUAAUUAAAAAAAUGCCUGAUUUUGGUCGAAAGGGAAUCGGGUUAAUAUUCCCGAACCUGGACGCGGAGAUGGAAACUAGCAAUAGUUUCAGUGCGGUAACGCAAACGAUCUCGGAUUCGUCGGUGGGAGUCCCGGGAAGAGUUCUCUCUUCUUUGUAAGGAGCUGAAUCCCUGGAAUCGGCUUAGCCGGAGAUAGGGAUAUUGCAAUAGCAUCCGUAAAGCACUACACUUCUUGUAGUGUCCGGUGCACAACUGUCGACACUUAAAAAUCCGAGCUAGACUUACAUAAUGUUCGCGCCAGGCCGUACCCAUAUCCGCAGCAGGUUU